UAGCAGCACGUAAAAUAUUGGAGUGGCACUUUGGCGCUUGUACUGAGCCUUCAAUAUUGCACGUGCUGCUACA
rnacentral:pre_miRNA from 1 species